rnacentral:rRNA from 1 species
AUGCCGGCAUUACUUUGGCGCGCCCCAGCCCAACCCUCCCCGCCACCCUCUAGUGGACAAAAAACGUCCCGGCCGGCCCUCUCUCUCCCCGACACCUGCUCUUUCCCUCCCUUGACGCCCUCCUCCACCUUGACGCAGUUCUCCUCCACCCCAAAGAAGAUGGCCUCAAGCGGCGCCGGCAGUAGUGGCGGCCCUCCGCCGGGCGGCAAGUGGCCGACGAGCUUGGGCGCGCCAGAGACGGACGAACUCAUCCGCCUCAAGCUCCUGGUGCCGUCGGGCUGUCGGCUGCCGAAGGUCUUCAAGAUCACGGCCGACGGGUACCCGACAAGGGGGGCCGGCGCGACGCCGGAGGAGCUCCGCCGCCACAGCGGCGGCCCCUGGAACCCAGUCGGCCGGCAUGCCUUCUGGGACGGCAAAGACUUCUAG